rnacentral:rRNA from 1 species
UACGGAGGGGGCUAGCGUUGUUCGGAAUACUGGGCGUAAAGCGCACGUAGGCGGUUAUUCAAGUCAGAGGUGAAAGCCCAGUGCUCAACACUGGGACUGCCUUUGAAACUAGAUAGCUUGAAUCCAGGAGAGGUGAGUGGAAUUCCCAGUGUAGAGGUGAAAUUCGUAGAUAUUGGGAAGAAACACCGGUGGCGAAGGCGGCGAGCUGGUCCAUUACUGACGCUGAGGCGCGACAGCGUGGGGAGCAAACAGG